UAUUCAAAAUAAACCACAUAAUCGAUAACAACAAACAAUCGGAACUUCUAACAAAUGAACAACACUAACAGCUGUAACAACAAGCAAAUGUAAACAACAAAGAUCGGGUCCCGGUUCCGGACUCAGCGUACCCGCCCUACCUGAGACGAUUACUUGAUCUCGUCUCCCUCAUUUUGGCCACUAGAUGGCCUGCAUCAGCCUGUGUCUGCUGUUAUGCCCCCCAUCAAGUUAAACUUAGCCGGACAUUUCUCUCUUCAAUACGUGUUUCCAUUCAGUUAACUACGUUAUCAUGAACGUGAACAUUUCUUUACCAGAAUACAUUUUAUUUACUUUAACAACAUUAAAUGGAACAGGCGACGAAACACUGCAAAGUUAUUCCCAUUCGCCGCAAAAAAGAAAACAAGAAGGCAAUUAUGAAGCAAUCGUUGCACCGAUUUAAGAACAGUGUACCCAAGCAAACCGGGUAUGUCACGAUAGUCAGUCGUGCAACAGAGCUCUCUGUGGGUGGUAAGGGGCGAUAGAAAGGGGUAUUUCAAGUUGGGCGCAUAUGCAUAACCUUUGAAGUUUUCCCUCACUGCUCGCACUCUAAAGUGAAGCUUGGGGAGCACAAUCAGGAGUGUACGUCUGACUCUGCCAAUGACUCGGGCGAGGAGGGGCGAAAUGGAACAGACUCACUUGGAGGAUGUGGGCGUGGUCUCGCCUGUGGCCGAUUUAUCGCUGUUGGAGCCCGGUCGUUGGUGGUUCGUCUCGCCGUCCUUAGUGUUGCGCCGAGGCUUGGCUGACGUGCACCGCUGAUGUGGCUGACGUGUGCCGCUGAGCCAAGUCCUGGGCUUUGGGUCGAGUUCGUGGGCCUCUCUGGUCCGAGAGUUGGUAAUUUCGUUGCCGGAGCCGUGGGUCGUUUUUACCCUAUGUCUUAGGGUUUUUAUGUGUUCAUCACGUGUCGCGCUUAAGUUGCAAGUCUUUCUAAUUUUUGUAUAUGUUGACACAAUGUUUAAAUUUCGAUUUUAUUAAUAAACGGCGAAAAUAAUAA